AGCAGCCGCGGUAAUUCCAGCUCCAAUAGCGUAUAUUAAAGUUGCUGCAGUUAAAAAGCUCGUAGUUGAAUUUCGGGAUCAAUAUGUUGGUCGUGCCUUGGUACGUACUAGCUUAUUGGUUUCUCCCUUCUGACGAACCAUGAUGUCAUUAAUUUGGUGUCAUGUGGAAUCAGGACUGUUACUUUGAAAAAUUAGAGUGUUUAAAGCAGGCUCACGCUUGAAUACAUUAGCAUGGAAUAAUGAAAUAGGACGUUUGAUUCUAUUUUGUUGGUUUCUAGGAUCGACGUAAUGAUUAAUAGGGAUAGUUGGGGGCAUUAGUAUUCAAUUGUCAGAGGUGAAAUUCUUGGAUUUAUUGAAGACUAACUACUGCGAAAGCAUUUGCCAAGGAUGUUUUCAUUAAUCAAGAACGAAAGUUAGGGGAUCGAAGACGAUCAGAUACCGUCGUAGUCUUAACCAUAAACUAUGCCGACUAGGGAUCGGAUGAUGUUAAUUUUUAAUGACUCAUUC
rnacentral:rRNA from 1 species